CCUACGGGAGGCAGCAGUGAGGAAUAUUGGUCAAUGGCCGUAAGGCUGAACCAGCCAAGUCGCGUGAAGGAAGACGGAUCUAUGGUUUGUAAACUUCUUUUAUAGGGGAAUAAAGGUAUCCACGUGUGGAUAUUUGCAUGUACCCUAUGAAUAAGCAUCGGCUAACUCCGUGCCAGCAGCCGCGGUAAUACGGAGGAUGCGAGCGUUAUCCGGAUUUAUUGGGUUUAAAGGGUGCGUAGGUUGUUUUUUAAGUCAGCGGUGAAAGUUUGUGGCUCAACCAUAAAAUUGCCGUUGAAACUGGAAGACUUGAGUGUGUUUGAGGUAGGCGGAAUGCGUGGUGUAGCGGUGAAAUGCAUAGAUAUCACGAAGAACCCCGAUUGCGAAGGCAGCUUACUAAACUGUGACUGACAUUGAUGCUCGAAAGUGUGGGUAUCAAACAGGAUUAGAUACCCUAGUAGUC
rnacentral:rRNA from 1 species